GGUCAUGCUUUUCCACAGCUUUCUUGAACUUCUUUUGCAUCUUAAAUCUUUCCAAAUUCAAGAUUAAUAGCCCUAGAAGAAGCUCAAGAAAGCUGUGGGAGAAUAUGGCAA
rnacentral:pre_miRNA from 1 species